CAUGAGCUGCAGAGCCAAGCCUGGGUUCAGGUCCUGGCUCUUUGACCAAAAACUAUGUAACUCAGUCUCUCUGAUCCUCAGCUUUUCGAUCUGCAGAAUGGAGAUAGUGAUACCAUUCUCACACCUGUGAAGAGUGAAAUAAUGCUGAAGAGGAAAUGACGCAGAGGGAUGACAGUAUGAGGACACAGAGAGAGGCCACUGAGGAACUCAACCCUGCCAACAUCCUGAUUUUGGACUUUGCAGCCUCCAGAACUAGGAAAGAACGGGGAUGAUUUCAGCAAAUAAUAACCCAAAUGUCUGAAUAAAAUUUGCAGAAACAAUUGAUUUUCUUCCCAAGGACUGGAAGUGGCGCGGGCAGUUGAGCAAUAAAGGAGCAGUGGCAAUUUUCUGCUCCAUUUCUACAACAGCAACAAAAACACGAUGGCAGGAAACAACGCCAAGUGACAAUCUUCAUUUCCUUCCUUGGGGAUAGAAAAACACAUCUGUUUAUUAAGUCUUUAAAAAUUGUAACCACAGAUUGCAGCAACAAGACGCUACACAGAAGAGCGGGUUGGGUGAGCCAAGCGUGUGGGGCAACCGGAUGGGAAGGUGGCUCCUGUGUGCAAGAACAGUGGGCCAGUCCCCGGGAAGGCGGGAAGGCCGAAGCCGACAGGGACCAAGAGCUUUCAUUUACACUGGAAAUGCUGACCUGCAGUGUGUUUUCCUCGGCAGACAGACAAGCUCCCUAGAAAGGGAAGAUUAACCCAAGUGUGGAACAUGAACUGUCUCUAGCAAACCAUGUGCAUUUCCUGCCUGGGGAGAGCGCUGAGUGACAGAUGGCCAUUGACCUUGGAUGGGAAGGACUUGAAGGAGUCUGUCCUGGUUCCUCCUGCACUUUCUGCUUCUCCCCAUCUUGUCCUAGCAUGCAGUGAAGUCUCAUUUGUCCUACGUCCGUGAGCAAGGGCUGCUCCACUUGAAUUCAUUUUACCAAAAACUGAGGCUUGCCUAUUGAAAUUUCACACAUUUAUUUAUGUCAAGUUUCACAGAGUUUGUUGUUUCUUGUUUUUAUGUGUGUGUGUAGAAAUCUUUUUGAAAUUAAUGUCAGACUUCCCUGCCUUCUCGGUGUAUCCUGAACUUCAGUGAGCACAUCCAGAGCACAGAGCUGUCACACAGUGGGCACUGAGCAGCAUCCCAGGCUUAUUGCUUCAUUAAUUUAUUUCCUUUUAUAAAUCAAGGUCA